GUGCCAGCCGCCGCGGUAAUACGUAGGUGGCAAGCGUUAUCCGGAAUUAUUGGGCGUAAAGCGCGCGUAGGCGGUUUUUUAAGUCUGAUGUGAAAGCCCACGGCUCAACCGUGGAGGGUCAUUGGAAACUGGAAAACUUGAGUGCAGAAGAGGAAAGUGGAAUUCCAUGUGUAGCGGUGAAAUGCGCAGAGAUAUGGAGGAACACCAGCGGCGAAGGCGACUUUCUGGUCUGUAACUGACGCUGAUGUGCGAAAGCGUGGGGAUCAAACAGGAUUAGAUA
rnacentral:rRNA from 1 species